rnacentral:rRNA from 1 species
AUUGAACGCUGGCGGCAUGCCUUACACAUGCAAGUCGAACGGUAACGGGCCUUCGGGUGCCGACGAGUGGCGAACGGGUGAGUAAUGCAUCGGAACGUACCUUUCAGUGGGGGAUAACGUCGCGAAAGUUACGCUAAUACCGCAUAUUCUGUGAGCAGGCAAGCAGGGGAUCGCAAGACCUUGCGCUGAUCGAGCGGCCGAUGUCAGAUGAGCUAGUUGGUGAGGUAAAGGCUCACCAAGGCGACGAUCUGUAGCGGGUCUGAGAGGAUGAGCCGCAACACUGGAACUGAGACACGGGCCAGACUCCUGAGGGAGGCAGCAGUGGGGAAUUUUGGACAAUGGGGGCAACCCUGAUCCUGCCAUGCCGCGUGAGUGAUGAAGGCCUUCGGGUUGUAAAGCUCUUUCGUUCGGGAAGAAAUCGCAUGGGUUAAUACCCUGUGCGGAUGACGGUACCGGAAUAAGAAGCACCGGCUAACUACGUGCCAGCAGCCGCCGUAAGAC